rnacentral:rRNA from 1 species
CAGCAGCCACGGGAAAACAGAGGGUGCAAGCGUUAAUCGGAAUUACUGGGCGUAAAGCGCGCGUAGGUGGUUUGUUAAGUUGGAUGUGAAAUCCCCGGGCUCAACCUGGGAACUGCAUCCAAAACUGGCAAGCUAGAGUAUGGUAGAGGGUGGUGGAAUUUCCUGUGUAGCGGUGAAAUGCGUAGAUAUAGGAAGGAACACCAGUGGCGAAGGCGACCACCUGGACUGAUACUGACACUGAGGUGCGAAAGCGUGGGGAGCAAACAGGAUUAGAGACCCGCGUAGUCCCUGUCUCUUAUAU